GUCAUGAGUAGAAUGGAGCAGCAUAAUUUUUCUCCCCUGGGGUUCAAGAGUUUAUUCCUUCUGAUACAACAAUAAAUCAACCGACAAAAUGGAAUUUCUUUGCAAUACAUAUGCAGCAAGUUAGGUUGCAUGGACAAGUUGAGCUUCAGCUUAAGUAUAGAAACUCUGGAACAUUUUAUUAUAAAGGAAUAGUGCUUGGAAGCUCCUUAAAGUAGCUACAAAAGUAACUAUGAAAAGAAGAUAAUGUGAUUAACACUAGAAAACCUUAAAAAGUGAUCUCAGCAGCUCUGGAAACAUCUGCUUGCCAAGUCAAACAGCAAUAUAUAUUGGAAUGGGUGCGUGAGGGAGAACACGCAUGGAGGCAUAAGAUAGGACAUAUGAACGUGCACAAAGGUUACAUCAGCUGUCAGAGGGAGUUGCAAAAAUCCAAUAAAGAUGUUUGACUCCGAAGAACUGAGAGUGCGAUAAAGAAGAUUCCAAAGUAAAAUAGUGAAGAAUAGAUUUUAAAUGAACUUACAGGGCGCCUGGGUGGCUCAGAUGGUUAAGCGUCUGCCUUCAGCUCAGGUCAUGAUCCCAGGGUCCUGGGAUCGAGUCCCGCAUCGGGCUCUCUGCUCCUUGGGAGCCUGCUUCUCCCUCUGCCUCUCUCUCUCUCUGUCUCUCAUGAAUAAAUAAAUAAAAUCUUAAAUGAACUUACAGACAUGGGAGAGGAGAUGCUUUAUGCAGUCAUAAGAUGAGGAUUUUUGUCUUUUUGCAUGAUUCAAAACGAGGAUAGAGGAAGAGGAACAUUUGAUUAAUUGAAAUGUCAAUGAUUGGUCACUGUGUGCCAAGUGUAUAGAAAAAAAUACAAAUAUGUUGACUGUGCCCAUAACAAACUUACUCACUGAAGACCAAUUGGGCCCCCAAAGAUGUCCAGACACUUCUUGUAAUUCUGUAAGCUGAGAUUUCUGAGAGUUUUAUCACACCAAAAUGAUUUAAUUAUGUUCAUUUCUGCUCUUUCUGUCAAGGUUGGUUUAUUCCAGAAGCAGUGCUUCUCUGACAGCCUUUUCCCCUCCAAAUUCUCGCAGUGGCAUUCGUCCUUCCAAAGGGAAAUCCAACCACAUAGCUCCAGACACCUUCUCCUUACUUCCUAGUUCCCCAACACGUUGCUAUAAAAAUUUUCAAACACAUAGAAAGUAAACAUCCACGUAGCCGCUACCGAGAUUCUACCAUUGAGAUUUUACUACACUCAUUCAAUCAAACAUCUAACCAUCCAUCAUCAAUCUAUCUGGUAAUUUUUAAAUGUAUUUCCAAGAAAAUUAUGGACAUUAUUACAUUUCCACUAAAUACUUCAGCGUGUCAUUCAUUAACUGAACUUAGUAUUUAUUUUUGUGUUUUUUUUUCUCUUGAGCUAAAUUUUACACACAAUGGAAUAUAUACUUGUUGAGUUUCAAUAAAUGCCUACACUUGUGUAACCCAAACCUCUAUCAGGAUGUAAGACAUUAUGAUCACUCCAGAAAAUUUCCUCAUCCCCUUCCCAUCAAUGCCCUACCUCCUGCCCCAGCAGAAGAAACUGCUGUUCUGAUUUUUUUACAACAAAAAUUAGUUUUGGGGCACCUGGGUGGCUCAGUCGUUAAGUGUCUGCCUUCAGCUCAGGUCAUGAUCCCAGGGUCCUGGGAUCGAGCCCGGCAUCGGGCUCCCUGCUCAGCGGGAAGCCUGCUUCUCCCUCUCCCACUCCCCCUGCUUGUGUUCCUGCUCUCGCUAUGUCUCUCUCUGUCAAAUAAAUAAAAUAAAAUCUUAAAAAAAAAUAGUUUUGCCUAUUUUAGAACCUCCUAUAAAAUGGAAUUAUACACAGAUGGCUGGGUGGCUCAGUCAGUUAACUGUCUGCCUUCACCUCAGGUUGUGACGGGGUCCUGGAUCAAGUCCCACAUCAGGCUCCCUGCUCAGUGGGGACCCUGCUUCUCCCUCUGCCUGUCUGUGCUCUCUCUCUUUGACAAAUAAAUAAUUAAAUAAUCUAAAAAAAAAAGGAAUCAUACGAAAUGUACUCCUUUGUGUCUGGCUGCUUUUACUAUAGAAAUUUUUUUU